GAGGGUCUAGCUCAGUGGUAGAGCACAUGCUUAGCAUGCAUGAGGUCCUGGGUUCAGUCCUCAGUACCCUCA
rnacentral:tRNA from 1 species